CCCAUUUAAUUUUUACGGUGACGAAGACUGAUUUGUUUUUUGUUACAUAAACCCACAGAAAUGGGACACCCUCUCCCUCUCCCUCUCCUUCUAGAUUUUCUAAAAUUAAUUUCCCCCUCAUAACCAUAGCAAUAUGAAAAGAAUACAGGAACAUGUACCUUGGGAAUCAAAGAUAAUACAGCCUGUUGAAAUCUAAUAGAUCUAAAGACCCCAAGUACAUGUUUGGUAUGUUGUACUAGACAUGAUUGGAUAAUAUAAUAAAAUAAAAUUCACCCUCCUUUCCUUUCUCAAUACCGUCCAGUAGUAUCCAUGCUCCCAAACAAACGUGCCAUAAGGGAAAAGAAAGAGAACAUGGUGACAUCAAAGAGGAGUAGGCAGGGCUGGCGUUGAUAUUUUGGGGGCCUUAUGCCAAUUUCAAAUAUGGGGCCUAUAUUUUGAGUUUUCUUACAUAGAAUUUUAGCCUUGGUUUGAUGGAGAUUAAAAUCAGAUUUUAAGUAGAUUUUAACAGAAGUAGAUGAAAUAUAUAGAUGAAAAGUUGUGAGAUCCAUAAAAUAUGUUGUUAAAAUUAAUUGUUGAUUUUGACUUAGAUUAAAAUCUAGAUUUUAAUCGAUACCAAAUAUAGGCUUAAAAUAUAAUUAUGAAGAAUCUAACACAGACAAAAAAUUUGAAGAGGAAAUUAAAAAAAUGUUAAAUUUCAACUUGCAAUACAAAAUUACAAGUAAAUUUUGACAAACAGAAUUAUAAUACAAUGACAAAGGGUAUGUUUGUUUCUAUGAUUAUUUUCUCAUUACAAUUAUUUCAAACAAAAUUCAAUAUACAUUUGAGUGGUUUAUGUACAAAAUUGGAGAAUAUUGACUACAAAAGAUAGUGUAAUAAAAUAAUGAAAAAGAUGAUCAAAUACAAACGAGCUUCUAAUUUUAUAUUAAUUUAUAAGAAAUUAAUUAAAAAACAAAAAGUAUUUUUAUAAACAUGGAUAAAGAAUUAUUAAAUUCAAAUCACUUUUAGCAAACAUGUAAAAAUAUUAUUAUUAUGAGAUUAAAAAAAACAAUAUAAUAACAAUUUAUGUCCUCUGUAGUAUGUGUUUUGAAGGUAAGAGAGAAAAAAAAUGAAAUUUGUAAGGUUGUAACAAUGGCAAUGAGAUCAAACCAAUUUGCUAAAUUGAAUUUUUAAAAUUUUAAUUCAAAAGGAAAUAAUUUAUAUCUUGUUGGGUUGAAAAAAUAAUGGUAGGUGAUUGUUUGACGUGGAAUUUUAAAAGACAAAGAGACCUUUUUUUUUUGUUAAGAAAAGAAAAUAAACGUUUGGAAGAUAAAGUGUCAACUUAGUUAUAAAGAGGGAAAGUAAUGUUUGUGAUAAAUGAAUAUAAGUGAUAAGUUUCUUGCCACAUAUAUAUAUAGAUUUUAAUAUUUUCAAUUUUUAUUAGUUUCUUAUGUUUGCAUACGAUAAUUCUAUUUUACAAAAUUUCAUAAAUAUAAUUUUCAUUUUUUCUUCAACCAACCAAUUAACUUUACAUUAUUUGGAGCCCUCACCAAAGUGGGGGCCUUAGGCGAUCGCAUACCUCGCCUAUACUCAGGGCAACCACUCGAGGAGUUAUGAAUCAUCGUUUUUGUAAAUUUCCCUUGAAGUCCACAAAGAUGAAAUUCCCAGUGAGGUUUGAUAGGGAAGCGAGCCACAAGAGAUGGAAAAGAAUUAAUCUAUGAUGAAAUGAUAUCAAAGGAUUACAGGUUCUGUUCUAAGUGAUGAACAGCAACCAUGAACGGUAUGUUUUAAGAAAUAGAAGAUGAUUUGAUGGUUUAUAUUGUUGGAAGUUGCUGCCAUUACAAUGUAUUAUUUUUAUGAUAGGAAGAAAGAAUUAGAAGAGAUCAACAACCCAAAAUAAUGUGAGAAAUCAGGUCUCUCUUAUUGAAAUAUGAAUAAAAUCAAUAUUAACUCAUAUUUCAAAAUAAUUCCUAUGAGGGUGAUGAAUUUGCAGAAAAACAGUGGCUUAUACAUUACAGUUCUGAACAUUUGGACAAAAGAUAAUAGUUAGCUCUCUAGUCUGGAAGCAAUAUAAUUUUAGAUUGCAGAGUUUCUUGCCUACAUGUACUGCUUUAUUGACUUCACUAAGGUCAUAUCUAUUGGUAUUGGUGCACUAACUGAUUAAACUAGGCAGACAUAAAUUUAAAAGUCUUGUUGUUUACAAAUAAUCCAUUAAAAAAGAGAUUUUUUUUUUUUUUUUUUU
rnacentral:lncRNA from 1 species